rnacentral:rRNA from 1 species
UCUUACCGCCAUACCACCCUGAGCACGCCCGAUCUUAUCUGAUCUCGGAAGCUAAGCAGGGCUGGGUCUUGUUAGUACUUAGAUGGGAGACCGCCUAGUAAUCCCAGAUGCUGUAAGCU